rnacentral:misc_RNA from 1 species
AACGCACAUUGCGCCCUUUGGCAUUCCGAAGGGCAUGCCUGUUCGAGCGUCAUUAUCCUCCCUCAAACCCCCUCCUUGUGGAAGGGGUCUGGUGUUGGACCGCGUUGGACCCCCCGUUCGGGGCGGGCCAACUGGUCUCAAAGACAAUGACGGCGUCCGUGGGACCCUCUUCGCACUGAGCUUUCCGGAGCACGCGUCGAGUGUCCAGGUCCCAGGGGCCCGGUCACCUCCCAUAUCUUCUAGGUUGACCUCGGAUCAGGUAGGAAUACCCGCUGAACUUAA